ACACCGUUAAUUUGCGUGCACAUACAGGAAUUGUUCUUCUGUAUAGGUAUUUUUAUGGUAUGAUAUAUAUCAAUAUGACACAUCCACAACUUCUCUCCUAGGAAAGAAUCUCAGAGUCUGAACCUUGAGAAACUGGUGGAAUGACAACACAGGAGGAUUUAGUCAACAUCUUUCAUGCAAGGCAUGUAUUAGGAAUGGCGGCCACAAAUCCAAUGAGCUCAACCUGGCUAAUUGCUUUUGUUAGCUGAAGUACUCACCUCUUUCUGGUCUUCUCCAUGAAAGUGAGAAUGAAGUUGUUCCUAAAGAGUCAAGUAAGGAAGAAGCUAAACUCCACAAGGAAACAUAGCUGAAGCUAAACCUAUAUAUGCUGUUAUCUUUGUGUGUGCAUUUCCUCAUUCAAAUGUUUUUUGUAUCACCUUAACAGAGAAAAAAAAA
rnacentral:lncRNA from 14 species